AGAGUUUGAUCAUGGCUCAGAGCGAACGCUGGCGGCAGGCCUAAUACAUGCAAGUCGAACGGAUCCUUCGGGAUUAGUGGCGGACGGGUGAGUAACACGUGGGAACGUGCCCUUUGGUUCGGAACAACUCAGGGAAACUUGAGCUAAUACCGAAUGUGCCCUUCGGGGGAAAGAUUUAUCGCCAUUGGAGCGGCCCGCGUCUGAUUAGCUUGUUGGUGAGGUAAAGGCUCACCAAGGCUACGAUCAGUAGCUGGUCUGAGAGGAUGAUCAGCCACACUGGGACUGAGACACGGCCCAGACUCCUACGGGAGGCAGCAGUAGGGAAUCUUGCGCAAUGGGCGAAAGCCUGACGCAGCCAUGCCGCGUGAAUGAUGAAGGUCUUAGGAUUGUAAAAUUCUUUCAGCGGGGACGAUAAUGACGGUACCCGCAGAAGAAGCCCCGGCUAACUUCGUGCCAGCAGCCGCGGUAAUACGAAGGGGGCUAGCGUUGCUCGGAAUUACUGGGCGUAAAGGGCGCGUAGGCGGACAGUUUAGUCAGAGGUAAAAGCCCAGGGCUCAACCUUGGAACUGCCUUUGAUACUGGCUGUCUUGAGUACGGGAGAGGUGUGUGGAACUCCGAGUGUAGAGGUGAAAUUCGUAGAUAUUCGGAAGAACACCAGUGGCGAAGGCGACACACUGGCCCGUUACUGACGCUGAGGCGCGAAAGCGUGGGGAGCAAACAGGAUUAGAUACCCUAGUAGUCC
rnacentral:rRNA from 1 species